UUUGAAAUUAGCUCUGAUAUUGUCAGACAUCAAAGAAUUUAAUAUAUAUGGUAACUGGUUUUUACAUGAAUAUUAAAUAGUAAUGCUAUUUACCAUAUUCUUUUGUACAUAGGAAUCACCACAUGAUUUUGGAGUAUAAACGAGAAAUGGGACCUAAAACUCCUGCUCAAGAUAGUAACCUAGGAAGGAGACAAAAAGCCAGGAAUGGAGGGAAAAGGAACCAGGACUGAUAUUAUGGAAAGUAUCCCACAAAAGCCACCAAAUCAUGACCAUUUUACUUCUGUUGAUGGAGCACAGAGCAAGAAUAGAUAUGCUAUGUUAUCAGCAUCAGGAUGAGAGGAGGAAGAAGUUGAAUCAUCUUUGGAUUCUGAGGUAUUGUUUGCUAUUAUUGCUAUUAUGAUUAUUUUAAAUAGAAGCCCUGAGUGAUGGUAAAACAUGAGAGUGGGUGCUUUGUCUUUACUUUCUCACCUUUGCAUUUACCCAUCGGAUAUUUUUCAUUAUAGUUUUCAUUUAUAAUUAAUAAACUAAUUCUGUGUGAAAUACA
rnacentral:lncRNA from 1 species